UGGGAUGUGCUAAAACACUCUCC
rnacentral:siRNA from 1 species